rnacentral:lncRNA from 1 species
CCCUGUGCCUACUGCGUGUCUCUAGUUCCGUGAAAUUUCUCUUCCUGGGACAAGUGGAGUCCCCAUGGAUGAUGAGUUUGGAGGGCUUAUUACCCAAAUGAGGAAUGCUUCCACAAGGAAACAUAGUCAUAGUUCUGAGGAACUGAAAAAUGAUACCACUGCCCCAGCCAUUCUGGGCUUUUCCUGCUGGUGAGCUGACAAAGAAAUGGGUCUCUGUACCAACCAGGGAAGCUGAUCUACAUGGAUCAUAUAAAAAGCCAUCUUAACCUCUGGCUUCCAGUUGCCUCUGGUCAGUGGGGAGCCCCAUUUGGAGACUGGAGGAAGAGAGGACAGGGUGACUUAUUGGCAGCAGACAGGCCACCUUUACAACGUGGUGGCUUCCAGCCAGAUGGACAAGGUCCCGGUGACUUCUCUUCUCCACCCUCCUGGCACCUGCUAGCAUUUCCUGCUUUCUUGCUUUCUACUCCAUGUUGGCGGAUUCCUUUGAACCAAUAAUAUCGCUGUAUUGAUUAAACUCUAAGCCUC